CAACAGGAGUUAUUAUCUAUGAAAAAAGUACAACAGGAAUGUAAAAAACUUGAGGAGGAUAAAAAUGUUGGAAGAAGGAAUAUUAAAUCUUAAGAAACAGAUGGGAAGUACACAUUGGUGAAGAGACAUUGGUGAAAUACAAAAAUAUAAAUCAGAUCUAGAAGAAAGGGCAAUGCAGGCAAUAGAAAAAUUAGUAGAAAUCCCUUUACAGAGUAAUGAUUCUCACUGUGGAGUCAUUUGAUUAUUAAGACCCAUUGGCAUAAGAUUACAUCCUCUGACUACAAAAAUCCUGGAAGAAAACCUAGGAAAUAUUCUUCUGGACAUUGCACUUGGCAAUGAAUUUAUGGAUACUCAGUGGUGGAGUUACUGGAUCAGACAGAGCCAAUUGAUGAUCAGUAAUUGUGGCCAAUAAUCAGCUAGAAAUAAAGUACUUAGCAGGGCCUGAAAACGCCAAAACUCUGAGACCACUGACUUUCAAAAAC
rnacentral:lncRNA from 1 species